rnacentral:rRNA from 1 species
AUGUCGGCGCUGCAGAGCUGGCGCAAGGCGUACGGCGCGCUCAAGGACACCACCACCGUCAGCCUCGCCAGCCUCAACUCCGACUUCAAGGAUCUGGAUGUGGCGAUCGUGAAGGCCACGAACCAUGUGGAGUGCCCGCCCAAGGAUCGCCACCUGCGCAAGAUUGUGGCGGCUUCGUCCAUGGCCAGGCCCCAAGCGGACGUCGCCUACUGCAUCCACGCGCUUGCCCGCCGCCUCGCCAAGACCCGGAGUUGGAUCGUUGCACUGAAGACACUUGUGGUGAUCCAUCGACUCCUCCGGGAUGGUGAACCUACAUUCCGCGAAGAACUUCUUAAUUUUACACAAAGGGUCCAGAUUUUGCAGUUAUCUAACUUCAAGGAUAACUCCAGUCCUAUUGCUUGGGACUAUUCUUCAUGGGUUCGAACAUAUGGUUUAUUUUUGGAGGAAAGACUGCAAUGCUUCAGGAUCUUGAAGUAUGAUAUUGAAGCUGAGCGUUUGCCCAAGCAAGGUCAAGGGACUGAAAAGGCACACAGUCAAACCAGAGAAUUAGAUUCUCAGGCCUUGCUGGAGCAGAUGCCGGCACUUCAGCAGUUACUAUAUCGACUUAUUGGAUGCCGGCCAGAAGGAGCUGCUAAUACCAAUUAUUUGGUGCAAUAUGCUCUAGCCCUUGUCCUUAAAGAAAGCUUCAAAAUUUAUUGCGCAAUAAACGACGGAAUUAUCAACCUUGUUGAUAAGUUUUUUGAGAUGCCAAGGCAUGAUGCACUUAAAGCCCUUGAAAUAUACAGGAGGGCUGGCCAACAGGCUGGAAACCUAUCUGAUUUCUACGAAAAUUGCCGGGGAUUAGAACUCGCAAGAAAUUUCCAGUUUCCCACUUUGAGGGAGCCACCACAGACAUUCCUUUCAACCAUGGAAGAGUACGUGAAGGAGGCUCCACGUAUGGUUCCAAUUAAAGACCCCUUGGAGUUUCCUGAGAGGCUUCUUCUUACAUACAAACCAGAAGAAUCAGAAGAAGUUCCUGAGCCUGUCCCUGUUCAGGAGGAAGUUCCGCAAAUGGAAGAACCUGCUCCAGUACCAUCUUUAACUGAAGUAGCUUCAUCUCCUCCCAACACCAGAGUUGCAGAUACUGGUGAUUUACUGGGAUUAAGUGAUCCAAACCCCAGUGUAUCGGCAAUAGAGGAAAGCAAUGCUUUGGCCUUGGCUAUUACUCCGACAGGUGUUAAUACUUCAACAACUAGCACAGCCUCAGUGCAAGAUAUAGGAUUUGACCCAACGGGAUGGGAACUUGCUCUUGUCACUACCUCGAGUAGCAACACCAAUUCACUGGCUGUUGAUAGUACUUUGGGCGGUGGAUUCGACAAGCUCACGUUGGACAGCUUGUACGACGAUGGAACCUACAGGCAGAUGCAGCAACAGUUGCCAUACGGUUCAGUACCUCACAAUCCCUUCAUGGCGAGCGACCCUUUCACGGUGUCUAAUCAAGUAGCUUCUCCGCCAUCGGUUCAAAUGGCCGCCAUGGGACAGCAGCCCCAGCAGAUGCAACCAAAUCCCUUCGGACCACCGUCGCACCCACAGCCUGUGCCAAACCCAUUCCUCGAUGCCGGCUUCGGCCCUUUCCCGGCAGCAAAUGGAAAUGGAAUGCACGCACAAGCCAACCCGUUUGGAACCGCCCAACUUCUAUAG